rnacentral:rRNA from 1 species
AGAGUUUGAUCCUGGCUCAGGAUGAAUGCUGGCGGCGUGGAUAAGGCAUGCAAGUCGAACGGGUAGCAAUACCAGUGGCAGACGAGGUAGUAACACGUAUGAACGUACCCUGUAGUCUGGCAUAGCUCGUCGAAAGACGGGGUAAUUCCGGAUGGUCUCGUAAGAGUAAAGUUUUUCGCUACAGGAGCGGCAUGCGUAGU